UGCGCAGGCGGCUCGCCAAGUCAGAUGUGAAAGCCCCGGGCUUAACCUGGGAAUUGCGUUUGAAACUGGCGGGCUGGAGUGUGGCAGAGGGAGGUGGAAUUCCACGUGUAGCAGUGAAAUGCGUAGAGAUGUGGAGGAACACCGAUGGCGAAGGCAGCCUCCUGGGCCAACACUGACGCUCACGCACGAAAGCUGGGAGCAAACA
rnacentral:rRNA from 1 species